rnacentral:rRNA from 1 species
AACGAACGCUGGCGGCAUGCCUAACACAUGCAAGUCGAACGAGACCUUCGGGUCUAGUGGCGCACGGGUGCGUAACGCCUGGGAACCUGCCCUUAGGUUCGGAAUAACUCCCCGAAAGGGGUGCUAAUACCGCUUAAUGUCUUCGCACCAAAGAUUUAUCGCCUUUGGAUGGGCCCGCGUUGGAUUAGCUCGUUGGUAGGGUAAAAGCCUACCAAGGCGACGAUCCAUAGCUGGUCUGAGAGGAUGAUCAGCCACACUGGGACUGAGACACGGCCCAGACUCCUACGGGAGGCAGCAGUGGGGAAUAUUGGACAAUGGGCGAAAGCCUGAUCCAGCAAUGCCGCGUGAGUGAUGAAGGCCUUAGGGUUGUAAAGCUCUUUUACCCGGGAUGAUAAUGACAGUACCGGGAAAAUAAGCACCGGCUAACUCCGUG